rnacentral:rRNA from 1 species
UACGAAGGGGGCUAGCGUUGCUCGGAAUCACUGGGCGUAAAGCGCACGUAGGCGGAUUGUUAAGUCAGGGGGUGAAAUCCUGGAGCUCAACUCCAGAACUGCCUUUGAUACUGGCGAUCUUGAGUUCGGGGAGAGGUGAGUGGAACUGCGAGUGUAGAGGUGAAAUUCGUAGAUAUUCGCAAGAACACCAGUGGCGAAGGCGGCUCACUGGCCCGAUACUGACGCUGAGGUGCGAAAGCGGUGGG